AAAAAAGGAAAUCAAUUCCAAUCAAUGAUCGGAUUCCACUCGGUCGCCCUCGUCGUCGUGCGCCCCUCGCCCGCGGACCACCUCGACGUGCCGAGCUCCUCCUCCUCCAGGAGCCCCACGCCGCCCUCCAUGCCGCCAGCGCCGACGCCACCACGGACCAUCUCCUAGACGGCCUCCUCGCCCUCGCCGACACACAUGGCACGUUCUGGGAGGCGCUGCUUGACCUUAGGUGCCACGUCGCCGAGGUCCAGGCCAUACUCCGGCUCUGCAAAAUGGCCCUCCUCGACUUCUUGGUCCGCACCCAACGCGACGCCGAGAAGGACAUCGCCUGCCUUGCAUCCUCCGCGUGCACCGCCGCCAGGCUCUCGCAGGAGUCGGGACUAUGUGACACAAGAUGACAACUUGAAUAUGACAGUAAGGGAGACAAUCUAAUUAAUAUUUUGCACGUUUCCAUCUCCCCAAUAAGAUGCCAAGGGAGGAGAAGCAGGCCCUGAUCGAGGUCACCAUUGUUGAGCUGGGGUUGCACGGUUGUGCCAACAUAUAUAUAGUCAUCUAGAAUUGGUACCUGGCACCUAUGGGGGAUCAGGUGGCAGCGAUAAGAGCAGGGCCGGUCAGCAUGGCUAUGGAGUGCUUCGACACUGCAGGGGUUGAUGAGGGACGCUGGCCGAACAGUCAUAGCAUCAAGCCAUCAGUCAAGAUACUUAUAAGUCUUUAUCUAGAAGAAAGCAAAGUUACAUGCUCAGAAGGUGCUAAGAAACUGCCUUGAUAUUUCAGACCCCAUCAUCCCUGGCAUGACGACAUAACUUAUCUCCAUCAAUGCAAACCAGAGUGAUCAUCUCUAUUGAUGGCUAAGUCUACCUGGCGGGCAUGGUAGAUGUUCAAGCUUCUUGUAGCACCCCAUUUGGCAUUCAGAAGGUCAUAAUUUGGUAAUACCUGCCAAACUGAUGUGAUCUUACAGAAUAGCUCUUUUAUAGUUUCAGAAAAAUAUUACAAUGUGCAUGCUUGCUAACACUGUUUCUUGUUGUUGUCUUUACCAUGUGCAAACCAGACCCCAUCAUCCCUGGCAUGAUGACAUAACUUAUCUCCACCAAUGCAAACCAGAGUGGUCAUCUCUAUUGAUGGCUAAGUCUACCUGGCGGGCAUGGUAGAUGUCCAAGCUUCUUAUAGCACCCCCAUUUGGCAUUCAGAAGGUCAUAAUUUGGUAAUACCUGCCAAACUGAUGUGAUCUUACAGUCAUAUGAAUAGUAAUAAUAAACUGCCUAUAUUGAAACUAUACAUUCUUAGGAAAUAGGGCAAAUACAUGUUGAGCCUGAUAUGAAAUUAGUACUCUAUUUCAAGUGUAUCAUGUACUAAAUUUUGUUGUAACAUAUGAAUGGAUGCUAGAUAUUUCAAUAAAUUCAGCGUACAGUUUCUUUUGUUA